ACGGGUGAGUAAUGUCUGGGAAACUGCCUGAUGGAGGGGGAUAACUACUGGAAACGGUAGCUAAUACCGCAUAACGUCGCAAGACCAAAGUGGGGGACCUUCGGGCCUCACACCAUCAGAUGUGCCCAGAUGGGAUUAGCUAGUAGGUGGGGUAAUGGCUCACCUAGGCGACGAUCCCUAGCUGGUCUGAGAGGAUGACCAGCCACACUGGAACUGAGACACGGUCCAGACUCCUACGGGAGGCAGCAGUGGGGAAUAUUGCACAAUGGGCGCAAGCCUGAUGCAGCCAUGCCGCGUGUAUGAAGAAGGCCUUCGGGUUGUAAAGCACUUUCAGCGGGGAGGAAGGUGAUGAGGUUAAUAACCGCAUCAAUUGACGUUACUCGCAGAAGAAGCACCGGCUAACUCCGUGCCAGCAGCCGCGGUAAUACGGAGGGUGCAAGCGUUAAUCGGAAUUACUGGGCGUAAAGCGCACGCAGGCGGUCUGUCAAGUCAGAUGUGAAAUCCCCGGGCUUAACCUGGGAACUGCAUUUGAAACUGGCAAGCUAGAGUCUUGUAGAGGGGGGUAGAAUUCCA
rnacentral:rRNA from 1 species